rnacentral:rRNA from 1 species
AUUGAACGCUGGCGGCAUGCUUUACACAUGCAAGUCGAACGGCAGCGCGGGCUUCGGCCUGGCGGCGAGUGACGAACGGGUGAGUAAUGCAUCGGAACGUGCCCAGUAGUGGGGGAUAGCCCGGCGAAAGCCGGAUUAAUACCGCAUACGACCUGAGGGUGAAAGCGGGGGACCGAAAGGCCUCGCGCUAUUGGAGCGGCCGAUGUCGGAUUAGCUAGUUGGUGGGGUAAAGGCUUACCAAGGCGACGAUCCGUAGCUGGUCUGAGAGGACGACCAGCCACACUGGGACUGAGACACGGCCCAGACUCCUACGGGAGGCAGCAGUGGGGAAUUUUGGACAAUGGGGGCAACCCUGAUCCAGCCAUGCCGCGUGCGGGAAGAAGGCCUUCGGGUUGUAAACCGCUUUUGUUCGGGAAGAAAUCCUCUGGGCUAAUACCCCGGGGGGAUGACGGUACCGGAAGAAUAAGCACCGGCUAACUACGUG